UUGAACGCUGGCGGCAGGCCUAACACAUGCAAGUCGAGCGGAUGAAGGGAGCUUGCUCCUGGAUUCAGCGGCGGACGGGUGAGUAAUGCCUAGGAAUCUGCCUGGUAGUGGGGGAUAACGUCCGGAAACGGGCGCUAAUACCGCAUACGUCCUGAGGGAGAAAGUGGGGGAUCUUCGGACCUCACGCUAUCAGAUGAGCCUAGGUCGGAUUAGCUAGUUGGUGGGGUAAAGGCCUACCAAGGCGACGAUCCGUAACUGGUCUGAGAGGAUGAUCAGUCACACUGGAACUGAGACACGGUCCAGACUCCUACGGGAGGCAGCAGUGGGGAAUAUUGGACAAUGGGCGAAAGCCUGAUCCAGCCACGCCGCGUGUGUGAAGAAGGUCUUCGGAUUGUAAAGCACUUUAAGUUGGGAGGAAGGGCAGUAAGUUAAUACCUUGCUGUUUUGACGUUACCAACAGAAUAAGCACCGGCUAACUUCGUG
rnacentral:rRNA from 1 species